rnacentral:rRNA from 1 species
UCCUACGGGACGCAGCAGUCGGGAAUAUUGCGCAAUGGAGGAAACUCUGACGCAGUGACGCCGCGUAUAGGAAGAAGGUUUUCGGAUUGUAAACUAUUGUCGUGAGGGAAGAAAUUGACAGUACCUCAGGAGGAAGCUCCGGCUAACUAUGUGCCAGCAGCCGCGGUAAUACGUAGGGAGCAAGCGUUAUCCGGAUUUACUGGGUGUAAAGGGCGCGUAGGCGGGAUGGCAAGUCAGAUGUGAAAUCCAGGGGCUCAACCCCUGAACUGCAUUUGAAACUGUCGUUCUUGAGUACUGGAGAGGUU